rnacentral:sRNA from 1 species
CCUAUACUGGCUGUAAGAAUAGUGUUUGUUAAAUAACAGAAUUGAUGGUGGUCAUUAUCCUUGUAGUCCUCCUUUUUUACUUAAUUGCUUUUUACUUUCUGUUUCAGCCCAUGCUUACGUACCAGGACAACCUUCUCAUUUGUCUGAUAUUUCUGCAAAACCCACUUUCAAGCAUAUUCCUAAGAAAGGGAUGCUUGUUUUUGAUGCUGCUCAGUUUGAUGGGAUUCUUAAAAA